rnacentral:miRNA from 1 species
GCCCUUUUCUUGUUGCCCUGCU